GACCCCAUCGUCUAGAGGCCUAGGACACUACCCUUUCACGGUAGGUACCGGGGUUCGAAUCCCCGUGGGGUCGCCA
rnacentral:tRNA from 24 species